GAUGAAGAACGUAGCGAAAUGCGAUAAGUAAUGUGAAUUGCAGAAUUCCAGUGAAUCAUCGAAUCUUUGAACGCACAUUGCGCCCGCCAGCAUUCUGGCGGGCAUGCCUGUUCGAGCGUCAUUUCAACCCUCGAGCCCCCCCGGGGGCCUCGGUGUUGGGGGACGGCACACCAGCCGCCCCCGAAAUGCAGUGGCGACCCCGCCGCAGCCUCCCCUGCGUAGUAGCACACACCUCGCACCGGAGCGCGGAGGCGGUCACGCCGUAAAACGCCCAACUUUCUUAGAGUUGACCUCGGAUCAGGUAGGAAUACCCGCUGAACUUAAGCAUAUCAAUAAGCGGAGGA
rnacentral:misc_RNA from 1 species